rnacentral:misc_RNA from 1 species
UUAAGUUCAGCGGGUAGUCCUACCUGAUUUGAGGUCAAAAUGUCAUAUGUAUUGUCCGAAUGAACAGACGGUUAGAAGCAGCACACCUACUCUAAGGGCAGAUGUCCACGGCGUAGAUAAUUAUCACACCAAUAGACGGUUCCACCAGAGGGUACCAGCUAAUGCAUUUAAGGGGAGCUGACUUUGUUAAAAGCCGGCAA